rnacentral:rRNA from 1 species
GAGUUUGAUCUUGGCUCAGAUUGAACGCUGGCGGCAUGCCUUACACAUGCAAGUCGAACGGCAGCACGGGAGCUUGCUCCUGGUGGCGAGUGGCGAACGGGUGAGUAAUGCAUCAGAACGUAUCCUGGAGUGGGGGAUAACGUAGCGAAAGUUACGCUAAUACCGCAUAUUCUGUGAGCAGGAAAGCGGGGGACCUUCGGGCCUCGCGCUCUUGGAGCGGCCGAUGUCGGAUUAGCUAGUUGGUGAGGUAAAGGCUCACCAAGGCGACGAUCCGUAGCAGGUCUGAGAGGAUGAUCUGCCACACUGGAACUGAGACACGGUCCAGACUCCUACGGAGGCAGCAGUGGGGAAUUUUGGACAAUGGGGGCAACCCUGAUCCAGCCAUGCCGCGUGAGUGAAGAAGGCCUCGGUUGUAA